CAGUGGUUCUGUUCACAUUUUUUUUUUUCUAUUUGUCCUUAUUCCUAGGAUAUCUGCUUACAAACAUCAGUAGAGAGCUGGGGAGUAGAAGUCAAACUGGAGGAAAGGAAUGGAACAAGCUGCUGGGGUGACCUUUCUGAUGAGGAAGACAGCCAGCCUGCUACAGACUGGCCUGGGCCCAGUUGUAAGCUAAGCAGAUUCAAUGUUGUGGAACUCCUCCAUGUUCAUCAUCAGCUGACCAAAACCUUUGAGCUGCUGUAAUGCCGAGACCACGGGAAUGGUCCCUUUCAACCAAGCACAUCCUAUCUCUGACCACAGACAACUACAAAUAUCUUACUGGAAGGCAGAAGGACUUCUGGAGGAGAGCUUCUCCAAAGGAACAUUCCAGCUGGAGUGGGUGAACUACRUAAGUGAUGAGAACAGACUGCAGAACCUGUGCUAGUUCUGAAUACUUUGUCCAGAAYGUCUAGAAAUGGAGAAAAAUCUGCACAUUCACGUACAAGAACUUUGCACAGUGGAGGUAAGGAGCACAUUCAAGGUAAAGCAGAAUGUUAACAUCCUCAGCAGGAGGUAACACUUGAGUAUCAGUUGCUUGGCAAAAAGCCCAAACUUCCUGCAGUUUUAAUUGCAUUUCCCCCGUGCCAUCCUAACUGCCAUUUGCCCCAGUGCUCCUGCUCUCCCUCAGCUUCCUCCCUCUGCUUCACUCAGCACGCACUCUGAUUGCUUCCUUCUCCCCCCCCAGACCUGCCUGUCUCUGCCCAUCCCUCUCCUUCUUGUUUUUUCCCCACUUUUCAAAAUCCUGACACUAACCUGAAGGAUACUGAGCUCACAUUGUCCCUCCAGCUCUACAUCCCACCCUGUCCCUUCUCUUCCCCAUCACAGCUGCUAGCUCUGCCUUCUGCUCUGGGCAGCGCUUAGGAUUGCCGAAGAGCGUAAGCAACUUUCACGGGUGAGUACUGAGAAGAUGGACAGGACACGGGUGUGGGAAUUCACAGACACGCCUCCUUUAGAGAUGCUGUUUGUACUGCCCUCAUGCCCAGAAGCACCAGGCAUCCGCUGUUUUGGGUUCUGCACAAACAUGCAGGAAGGCAACCCUUGGCAUGAAAAACUCACAGCCUAAGCAAGAACAAGGCACAACAUGUAGGGGACUUGAACAGAACAAGGUGUAGGGCCAGGGUGGAGGCAUGCAAUAACAACUAACAGUUUGCUGUGUGUAUUUUGCAGGCUUCAAAGCUAUUGAAAAAAAAAUUAGCAUGCAAAAUGAGAAUAAAAAAACCUUUUAGCAAAACA
rnacentral:lncRNA from 1 species